UACAGAGGGUGCAAGCGUUAAUCGGAUUUACUGGGCGUAAAGCGUGUGUAGGUGGCUGCGUAAGUCGGUUGUGAAAUCCCUGGGCUUAACCUGGGAAUUGCGGUCGAUACUGCGGAGCUCGAGUUCGGUAGAGGGCGGCAGAAUUCCCGGUGUAGCGGUGAAAUGCGUAGAUAUCGGGAGGAAUACCGAUGGCGAAGGCAACCGCCUGGGCCUGAACUGACACUGAGACACGAAAGCGUGGGGAGCAAACAGG
rnacentral:misc_RNA from 1 species